AGCGAACGCUGGCGGCAGGCCUAACACAUGCAAGUCGAACGAACCUUUCGGGGUUAGUGGCGGACGGGUGAGUAACACGUGGGAACGUGCCUUUAGGUUCGGAAUAACUCAGGGAAACUUGUGCUAAUACCGAAUGUGCCCUUCGGGGGAAAGAUUUAUCGCCUUUAGAGCGGCCCGCGUCUGAUUAGCUAGUUGGUUGAGGUAAUGGCUCACCAAGGCGACGAUCAGUAGCUGGUCUGAGAGGAUGAUCAGCCACAUUGGGACUGAGACACGGCCCAAACUCCUACGGGAGGCAGCAGUGGGGAAUCUUGCGCAAUGGGCGAAAGCCUGACGCAGCCAUGCCGCGUGAAUGAUGAAGGUCUUAGGAUUGUAAAAUUCUUUCACCGGGGACGAUAAUGACGGUACCCGGAGAAGAAGCCCCGGCUAACUUCGUGC
rnacentral:rRNA from 1 species